rnacentral:lncRNA from 1 species
AAUGAUUAAAAGUAUAAGGUGUAAUUAGAAAACAAAUUCGAUGCAUAUAUAUAAAAAUUCAAUUUAAGGAGUUAAGAAACCCCCAAAAUAAAGGCCCGUUAAAGCCCAAUCCCAUCCUUCUCUCUCUUAUAAUUUUCGCCCCUCUCCCUCUGUACAAUCACCCACAAAAACACAACUCACACACAAUCACUCACCACUUACGCAGCCUCCUCACUCCCACUCUCUCUCUCAACCGACCACCCCCCCAUCCUUCUCCUCCUCUUCUCGGCUCCCUCUUGGUGCCCUGCCGCCGCGUCGACAGCAACAGUCGGUCAGGCCGCCUUCCCCUUUCCAGAUCUGGUGCCGCCCAACCGCCGUCGCCGCCUCCCUGCCCAUCUUCGCCGGCCGCCGUGGCGCGGCAGCGCCCAGCGACGCCUACUAGCCAACUCCCCCUUCGCCUCUCCGGCUGUCCAGCAGUCAUACACUCACCAACAAUUUCCCCUCCCUUCUUCUAUUUCUAUUUCC